AUUUACUAAUAUUUUGUAAAACAAAAUAAAAAAGAAUAAUGACUAAAAGCAGUUUUUAAAUUGGACACAUUGUACGAGAUAAAUAAUAAUGUUAAUAAAUGUUAAUAAAUUACGCCAAAUGAAAGUCUACUAGACACUUUCAUCAGAUUAAAAUACCGUGGAAAAACUGGAUCUGAAAGUCUAAUGCUCAAGCUUCAAAGGCAAACAUCUGCCUUUUUGCAGCAUCGGCGUGUUUGUUCUUUUAAACGCCUUUGAAGGGUGCGCGAGUUGGCGAAGGCCUGGAUGCGUCUCUGUGCAGUCGGUCGCUCUCCCUCCGACAGAAGGUCACAACAGCAAGUCAGAUGCAAAACACGGCGCCGCUGUAAAAGAGCUUGUAAAGAGGACCUGAUACUGGGUCAUGAUCUGAACAGGAGCAGUGGACGUCCGUCUGGCCUGUCGUGAGCUCUUCUUUACACGGUGAUGAUCAUGGUCCCCGGGCCGAAGGAGUUCCAGGCCGUGCAGUUGUACGGCGAGUGGAAGUCAGACUCCAUGACGUUGUUGAUCGUGAGCGUGGAGAGGACGGCGCCACCUUGGGACGGCGGCUUGCUCUGCUCCACGGUGUACCUCUCCAUCAAGUGGACGUCCACCAGGAUGCUGACGUUGGUGCUGCCGACGGCGUUGAAGACCUGGCAGGAGACGGGCUCGGUGAAGAAGGAGUGGUCGGCCGUGGUGACGAAGAGGCUCUCGCGGGCGCCCUCCAGCAGCACGCCGCCCUUUGCCCACCUGACGCAGAGCAGAGGAGACACUUCAUCUCCCGCCCAGCGCGGCUCCUCUGCCCCACACCCUCCAAGACAAAUGGCUUUUUGAUGGCUGACACUCAGGAGUCAAUUGAAGCCGAUUAAACUUUUGUGUUUCCCAACCCGAGGGGAGCUUCCGCGUCCUGCCAGAGACGGCGGCCAUAAAGGUGAAUCUCACGUUUGAUGACAUUUUAAUCGAGAGUCAAUACGCCGAGCGUCGGAGGACCUGGCCCAGUUCCCAAACCCAGACCCUCCAGUGGAGAUGGAGAGCGUUAAAGCGGAGCAGCGGUUUCCUUCCGUCGAGCUAAAACGCCGUUUGAUCGUUCAAACGUCGAUUCCUUCUGAUUCAGUCCCACCAGCUGCAGCCGUUCCCCUCCGGAGCAGAGCGCCGGGACCGCGGAAGGAAAACCGUUUUUGCAAUUAAGAGAUCGGUUCUGCAUCUUUACUGCUGCAGGAGGAACAAACAGUGCAGCUCAGAGAGUCUUAUUGGGUCUUAUUGGAUCACAGCAGAAGCCCAUAUUGGACCGGGACAAAUGAAGCAACACAUUUCACUUUCAUAGAACAUUAUGACAAAAAAACCUCUAACCACAGCAACAAGUGCACUGAAGAAUCACCAGACAGAUCAACACAAAGUAUCCACCAGAAAAACCCCCAAACUAAAUACAAAUAACAACCAACACGACAAAUUCUUAAACAUGGCUAAAUUAAAAAUAAUGACAAAAGUACAAUACAACAAAUCUCUAUACACAAAAGCAAAUAGCUAAACACAACAUGUCACCACACACAAAAAGACAAUGAUCUAACGCUGUAAACACGACAAAUUAUGGAGAUAGAGGUGAUGAAAUGGCAACCUAUAAUGUUAGUUCCUGGAACUGGCUUCACCCUUUCUUCCUGUUGCUACGGUUAGCGUCAGUGCUAACUUGGCUAGCUCCGGCUUGCGUGGCCUCCCUCACCCUCACCUUCCUCCUGCUAUUAAUAUCCUUAUCCAUUUUCACUACCACUGUGUUUCCUUGUCGUUUAUACACCUCACACUCUCUGCUGUAGUGACACUGACAGCUUAUAAAAUUACACCAAUAUCCAAAUACGUUAUUAAAAACGACAACUGCAUCGUGAACAAAUCAAAUAUCAAAUAAUAUAACAGUCGCUAAUGAGUCAUGAAUCAUUUUGUAAAAAUAAUGAAGCAAAAAACCUCAAAACGGAAGUAUUAAAAACUAGCAGUUUUGUGUUGAGAGAAUUAGCUUCUCACCUGUAGCCCAUGAUGGGCGGGUUAGCAGUCGCCUGGCAGGUGAAGGUGACUCUCUCGCCCUCCAGAACUGAGCGAGGCUCGAUGGACAAGGUGACGGUCGGUGGAUCUGGAGAGGGAAUGCGACACAUUUCGGAAACAAGUCAGUAACAGAUCCCUAUCGUUGGCGAUAAGGUCAUAAAAUAAGGACUUCAAAUGGAAAUGUUAGCAAUAUCGGCAGCAGCCAGGCCUGAAUGAGUGUUGUAAAGUCUAACUGUGAUGGAGUAAAGGUUUUCGUACGGUGAACGUUGAGCGUUACUGUCGAUCGCUUUCCCAUGGGAACCGCCGGGUUGGUUGCCACGCAGCUGAAGUUGCUGUUGCUGUCGGUGUCAGCCGGCGUGAUGGGCAGGUAGCUCCUGGUGGUGACUCGCUUCCUGUCUGGCAGCACUUCCUGUUGGUCAGGAAAUGGCAGGAUUAUUCAAUGAUUCCAGAGAGUCGGUGUGUUCACAGGCAUCAAUAUCGUCGGCAACACCACAAGCGUGCGCAAGCUCUGAAGUGAAAAAGUCUUGCAUGACUCUGCAUGAGUGAGAGAGUGAGUGUCAGCUGGCGGUGUCUGACACGUAGGUGUGAUCAGAAGGCAGCGAAGUGCGAAGGUGUCGCCUGUACCUGCAACUUUAUUUAUGUUCCUGAUUUCUCUCAUUACAAUAUACAUUUAAACCCACACACCACGAACUGGAGCUUGCUAGUUAAAAUUCCAGGCGUGUUCCUGGGUAGUCACGACACAUCAAGACAAGCUUGUGAUGUGUUCCACCGGCUUGUAUCAGAACUCAGACUUCACAGGUGCCUGUGAGAGAGAAUGUACGACACCAACACGUUCAUCCAGCGCCUUUUUGUCUGUCAUUGUUAAUAACGCAGGCUUUUGUGCGGCAGAAUCCAACAAUCGCUGAAAAAUGCUCUCGUUUUGAUUCCGAGACAAUCAGACUCUUCCUCUAUUGUGAGUCAGUUAGCGUGCUGGUGUGUGAAUCUAUCCUCUUCAAGAUGAGAAAAAGCAGGCUUCAUAGACAAGCAACAUCUGUCAACAGGGAGGAGGACGCGUCAUGACUGAAAGCGUCCGUGUUCAGGUGCCGCAAUCGCUCCAAACAGGCCGCGUGCUGGCACCAUUUGUCUUUCAUCCGCGCUGCGCUGUGAAAUGUAAAUCUGUAAUGCAGGAAUCCUGCGGUGUUUACUGUAAUUCCUCUGGCAAAUAUCAUCCCAACAGCCCGACAAACACACGGAGGCUUUCAGGUUUCUUCAGAGGAACAGCCUGCGCAGCUAUUGUACUUGAAUUUGGAGAUAAGCCCUUCAAAUCCAGCAGUAGGCAGCCAGAUUAUGCAGAUCUCCUGUAAGUGCGAUAAACUCUUCAUGCUUUAAUGUGCAUUUUGUGUUCUGUGCAGAGUGUGUGUGUCUGUGGGAGUGUGUGAGUCACCGUGGCAUGGUAGGCUCCAUCCACGGGGACUCCGUCCUUGGUCCACUGAAUGUGGGCUGCAGGCUUGGCUCCGCGGGUCACACAGCUCAGGUUGUAUGGCGUUCCAGCCAUCAGCAGCAGCUCCGGGGUUCCCUCCACCACCGGGUCCUCGGGAGGAACUGGACAAGACACACCGUGAACGACACAAGAGAUGAAGGAGAGUGAGGUGUUUAGGAGGUCAGAAGGUAUAAGGUAUGUAAAAGCUGGAUGGUGUUUUUAAUGAGAAGGGAUGAGGUCAAACUGAGUGUUAGAAGCAAGAUAAAAUGAAAGAGAUGUGAGGAAUAUAGGUAGGUUAGUGUCUCGGUAGGUAGGUGGGUCGGUAUGUAGGAGGGUAGGACAGGAUGCAGAUAGGUCAGGAGACAGGUACAUAGGCAGUCAUAUAGGCAGGACAGGUCAUAGGUAGAUGGGUAGGUAUUGAGAUAGUUGGAUAGACAGAUGGGUAUGUACUGUAAGUAGGUACAGGAGGUAGAUAGGCAAGGAGAAAGGGGGAUAGGCAGUAGGUAUGGAGCUAGGUUGGUAGGACACACACAGGAUAGGUUAGUCGGUAGGGAGAUGAAUAGAUGAGAAGGUAGGUAAGUUGAACGAUCGGUAAGGCAGACAGGCAGGUCGGUAAGGCGGUAUGGAGAUAUGUUGGUGGGUGGGUGGUAACUCAGGAUAGGUAAGUCGGUAGAGAGAUGAGUAUGUAGAAAGGUAGGUAAGUAGAACGAUCAACAAGGAGAUAAGGGAAGCAGACAGGCAGGUAGAUAGGUUAGUAAGACAAUAGGUAGGUAUGGAAAUUGGUUGGUGCACAGUCGGCAUAUGAAUCGUAGGUACUGAAGGUGGGAAAGGAGCUCGAUCAAUUAGGUACGUAUGGUUGGAGGUGGGAGGUAGGCAGGUAGAAGGGGCUGAUAGUUGAUGAAUAGCUGAUGAAGUAUGAAGAGUAUGAAUGAAAACAAGAUGGAAAAUAGUAAGGUAGCUAUUCAUCAUUGCAAAGAUUGUGGGUAGAACUCUCCAGGGAGAUAUGCUGUUGAUGAGGAAGACAUGUUUUUUGUUGAGUAUGUAUGGACAUAAGACAGAGGCUUGUUGGUUAGCAGAAGUGUGGCGUCACAUUCUGCAGGACAAACAUCUUUGUUCUCCGAGUUUCCUCUGUGUGGCUGUGAUGACUGGAGAAGCUGUGAUCCACUUACUGAGCACGUUGAGUUUGGCUCUCCUGGAGCGCAGCGCCGCCUCGGUGGCCUGACACUCGAACAGAGAGUCAUCAGAAAGCUCCGAGUGGGAGAUCUCCAAGUUGUACUGGCCCGUAUCCAGGGCUCGCAGGAUUCGAUAUCUGGGCCAGGCUGCUUGAGAGGAGCACAGCAUGGUUACAGUUAGCGAGGUACGUGAGGUUGAGAGCCACAGACAUCUUUUCAUCAUCACGGUAAAUAUUAUGGGAUGCGAUUAUGAGUCUCAGCUGGGAAACUGACCCAGUUUAGAAGCUGGACUACCAUCAAAAUAUUAAACACGUUGAUGCCCAGACAGGUUUGAAAAUGAGCGACUAAAUCGAAACAGAAGACAGAGGAGCACAGCGUCCGCCGCACCGCCGUGCUUUUUAUCGAAACAAACACGCCAUGAAUGGAGAAACCUUUAAAAGCAAUCUCUUCUGUUUUCCCCCGUCCUGAGCUUCUGCUCGCAGCACUGCGCUCCACAGACCCGCUCUGUUUACCCGACACAGCAAACACGAAGGAGCGGUUAUGAAAUGCUGAAUCACAAUUGUUCUACAUUAAUGAGAGACGACGCUCAGCAAACAGGACAUGUUUUAUAUGAAAAUGUCAAGAGCGAUGAAUUAAUAUCCAAACUUUGAAGACCUUUACAGAGAACUCAUUUCCUCAGCAGUCGUACGCGGGAAUACAAAUAAACACAUUAUCUAGCAGAAGACGAAGGUUACCUUUAUGUUCUAAACAAAACUUUUCCGACACAAAGAAAGACGCCGUCUAAACAUUGCAAUAGAAAGAAAGGUUUUUAAAAAUAAGGUUAGAUAUUCAACCCUUUAAGGUACUAUCUUUGGUUUUCCAAAAAAAAGUUAACUAGAAUAAGCCCUUUAUUAAAAAAUCAUUUCUUUGCCUGGCCAGAUGGGGGCAGUACGUGCAGGAUUGUUUCGAUCGAAAACAUUCUUGGCAAAAAACAUUUUUGACACUAGAAACAUUUUUUUCAGAGUGGAUUCGCCAUGUUACUUUUAGCAUCUAGCUCACGCCUUGACAAUGCUAUUGCUGGACGACAUCGCCAUCUUCGUCCGAGUAUUUGGAAAAAUGAUACAAAACACUGCGAACUGAACGGGGCGGAGUCGAGAGUCCUGAACCAGACG